UUGACCUCGGAUCAGGUAGGGAUACCCGCUGAACUUAAGCAUAUCAAUAAGCGGAGGAAGA
rnacentral:rRNA from 4 species